AAUAUCAUUUUUCUUCCUUCAUAUUUUUCCAUUUUUCUCACCAUGAUUUGUAAUUCUUUUUCUUUGCUGCUAGACCAAGUGGUGUCCUUAUCCGGGUUGUGAAUAUGCUGUUAAUUUUGUUGGUGACAAUGAAAAUUAUGAUGUAUCUUGCCUCUGCUCCUAUGGAUUUUGCUGGAAUUGUACAGAGGAAGCUCAUCGUCCUGUCGACUGUAGCACUGUGGAGAAAUGGAUUUUAAACAACAGUGCUGAGUCUGAAAACAUGAACUGGAUACUGGCCAAUUCUA